GUUUUUUUGGACAGAGACGAGAUUCGGUGUGAUCGGCCUAUCUAAAGCUUCAUAUUUCACGACUUCGACCGAGAUUCAACAGACCAUACAUACUCGGCAGAUUGUGCUCAAUCAAGACAAAGCAAACAUGGCUCACAAUUUUGAACUGCUGUGCCGUCUUGCAAGAGAGUGAGAUUCAGCAACACAUAGAAAGACCACAGCAUGGAUUAAGAGACAGGAAGAAUCCAUUUGAAUACUACGAGGAUGAACCUCUCAGAGUGGGGUACCAACAG